rnacentral:rRNA from 1 species
AGCUUGUUUUUAGUGGCGCACGGGUGAGUAACACGUGAGUUACCUGCCCCCAAGAGUGGGAUAGCCCCGGGAAACUGGGAUUAAUACCGCAUAAUAUCGCAAGAUUAAAGGUGCAAACCGCUUGGGGAUGGGCUCGCGGCCUAUUAGUUAGUUGGUGAGGUAACGGCUCACCAAGGCGAUGACGGGUAGCCGGUCUGAGAGGAUGUCCGGCCACACUGGAACUGAGACACGGUCCAGACACCUACGGGUGGCAGCAGUCGAGAAUCAUUCACAAUGGGGGAAACCCUGAUGGUGCGACGCCGCGUGGGGGAGCGAAGGUCUUCGGAUUGUAAACCCCUGUCAAGUGGGAGCAAAUUAAAAAGAUAGUACCACUAGUGGAAGAGACGGCUAACUCUGUGCCAGCAGCCGCGGUAAUACAGAGGUCUCAAGCGUUGUUCGGAAUCACUGGGCGUAAAGCGUACGUAGGCGGCUUGGUAAGUCGUGUGUGAAAGGCAGGGGCUCAACCUCUGGACUGCACAUGAUACUGCCAGGCUAGAGUAAUGGAGGGGAAACCGGAAUUCUCGGUGUAGCAGUGAAAUGCGUAGAUAUCGAGAGGAACACUCGUGGCGA